UACGUAGGUGGCAAGCGUUGUCCGGAUUUACUGGGCGUAAAGAGCGCGCAGGCGGUCGUUCAAGUCGCGUGUGAAAGCCCCCGGCUCAACUGGGGAGGGUCACGCGAUACUGAUCGACUCGAAGGCAGGAGAGGGUAGUGGAAUUCCCGGUGUAGUGGUGAAAUGCGUAGAUAUCAAGAGGAACACCUGCGGCGAAGGCGGGUUGCUGGGCUGACACUGACGCUGAGGCGCGAAAGCUAGGGGAGCGAACGGG
rnacentral:rRNA from 1 species